rnacentral:lncRNA from 1 species
ACACAGAGAUUGGAGAGAGACAGGAGAGAGACAUGUUUUCAUCUAUCCUUUGUGGACUUCUGUUGUUUUUACUGCUGUGAAAUUUGACUUGCGAUAUCUGCUUAAAGCAAUGAAGAGAAAAGCUGAAGUCAGUGAUUAGGAGUGUCUGUGUAAGUAAAAGCAACAGGCAAUUACUGAGUGUGGUGUGAGAGGCACGGAAAGAUUGGGAAUUCAGCAAGAAGAGGAAUUGAAGUCAAACCUCACCUACUUCCCAGAGUCUUCUGGAUUUUCUGUUAGAAGCUUCAGUAUCUGAGGGGCACACCCAGCUCCAAGAUCACCUUCC